UGAAUGGAAAUGUAUGUACAGCGAAGGAGUUUAGGUAAAAGGUGUAUAGGUUUGGUUGUUUUAGUAUAUUUGGGUUUCUUUCUAUUGGGUAUUGUUGCUUUACAGAAAGUGUUAAAGAUUAUAUAGUGAAAUUUGUUGAAACUGGUAAUGCACCGACUGGCAACUCGUUUGUUUACACGAGGAAGAAGAUACGAGCUUAUAAAUAUUUACAUGUUAUUAAUAAUUAUUAUCAUUAUAAUGUUGCUGGUGUUGUUUAAGGGUGCAAUGAUUCUGUGACAUCCUAACGAAUCUGUUAUCACUACUAUCAUCAACAUCAUUAUUGGUAUAACUACACAAUAACACAAUUCUUAUAAGUUCAUGAUAAAAACUCUCCAUCCGAAAAGAAGAAAAGAAAAAAAAUCAAUGCCUAAGUUCACUUUUGUUUUUACUUGGAGAGAGAGAGAGAGAGAGAGAGAGAGAGAGAGAGAGAGAGAGAGAGAGAGAGAGAGAGAGAGAGAGAGAGAGAGAGAGAGAGAGAGAGAGAGAGAGAGAGAGAGAGAGAGAGAGAAAUAUUCACUCUUAACAAGUUUCUUCCAUGCAAGCCAAACUUCAGAGUAAUUUGUAUUAAAAUGAGAAUAUUUUUUUUCCUUCUGCGUCAUAAGAAAAAGAGAAAGAAAAAGAAAAAGAAUUGUGUGUGAUAGUUUGAGUGGGUUAUAUAGUAUGGAAAUGAGAGAGAGGAUAGCAAAAUGUUAGCGGUGUGGCAGAGAGCAAGAGCAGCUACAGAUCAGGUCGGGCACCGCGUCAGGCUACACAGGGCCUCACUAUGGUGCCUCGCUCUGUUCUUCACCCACACCUGCAUCGCCGCUCCGCCCGCCACCUUCCCCGCCCUUCAGGCAGGCAUGCGGGCGGCGAGUGAGCCUCUGGUGGCAGUGGCGGCCCAAGUGGUGCGUGAAUACCUGGCUGGGUGUCACCUGGUCGUGGCCGCUGGUGACUCUCUAGACACGUCCCUCGACGCCCUAGUCAGGCAAGGCGUGCACACACACACACACACACACACACACACACACACACACACACACACACACACACACACACACACACACACACACAUACACACACACACACACACACAUGCAGCAAUAAGAUGCAACAUAUAUCUUUCAUUGCAGCCAAAUUAUUCUAAAGAGCAAUGACUAGGACAGACUAACUUAAAAAAAAGUUUCCUUCAUUCGUUCCUCCUUCCUUUCUCUCUCAGACAAGUGUGGAGUGCAGGAGGAACAUGUGUGAGAGUGAAGGCAAGGAGUGAGGCAUCCAACACAUCCUCCUCCUCCUUCAUGCAGCGCCUCACUCAUGGGGAUUCCACUCAUUCCUGCCGAGCUCUCCUCCUACUGAUUCCCUCCUCCACUCCUCCUCCUCCUUCUCCAUUCCUCAGUGACGCCUCUCCGGAUGCUACCGUCAACACUACCGAUUCUGUCUGGAGCGUACUAGACUGGCUAACUCUGACACCGACGACACGAGUGGUGAUAGUCGGCGGAGAAAGAACCCAGCCGCCCUCCCAUCCACGCCUCUCGCACGCCCUCCACACCAUCCACCUCGCCACGCACGGCCCUCGCCAGCCAGAGCAGGGGCAGGGAGAGCAGAGGGUGGCGGUGACCCGAAGGUGCCACUACUGCAGCAGGGGAGGCGCCGGCUGGGCACUGGUGGGGGACUGGCACUCGGCGGGGCUGGAAGGGGACAGGUCCAUGCUCUUCCCCGACACACCCGAGGACAUGGGCGGACACAGGCUGCAAGUGGUGGCCAAGGAACUUUUUCCUUACGUCUGUUACUCCGAGCCUCCGACCACCACCACCACCACAAGCACCACCACCAGCACCACACAUUCUGCCUUCAUCUCCAGCCCAUCUCUCAUCCCUUGCGACUCUCUGGACUUCCGCAUUCUAGACACUGCGAGUGCUCUGCUUAACUUUACGUGAGUGAGGAGUGAGUGCGACGUUCCAGGCAGCGACACGACCACAACAAAAAAUACGUAGGGAAUUAAGGAAAGGCACCAAAAUACGGUAGUGACUAUAGGGACUCCAUAGGUAUAGGUAACCAUAAAUGUUUCUGCAUCUUAUCUCAACCAAUGGGAAGUCGUGUAGUUUUGAAAGGCAUCUUUCAUGAAUGAAAUGAUAGCUUAAUAACAACUGUGCAUCAUCAAAGGAAGAUGCAGAGAUUGAUAAUUCCUGUGGCCUCUGAAAAUAGUCGUUUCAAAAUAGCGUUGAUGAAACCAGAGCGUUUCAAAAUAGCCCUGAAAAGUGAGAGACCAAAGCGUUUCAAAAUGGCGCUGGUGAGUGAGAGAGCAAAGCAUUUCAAAAUAGCUCUAAUGAGUGAGAGACCAAAAGGUUUCAGAAAAGCGUUGAUGAGAGACCAAAGCGUUUCAAAAUAGCCCUGGUGAAUGAGACCAAAGCGUUUCAGAAUGGUGUUGAUGAGAGACCAAAAUACGGCCAAAAAUUUCAGAAUACGGGAAUAGGGAUAUACCAAAGGCUUUAACAUUAUUCUC